GUGAUUUCAAAUUAUAAUAAAUAAUAAAAUUUCCCUUGUUCCCAUGAUGAGUAUGGUUGUUCCUAUAUAAAAAAUCGUCCGCUCUUGGUUCACCUUCAAAAGAGAGGAAGAAGAAAGAGCUAGAGAAACACAAAUCCAAGAGUUCAUUAAACGUGAAGAAGACUCAAGAUUGAAGAUUUAAGAAAGAUGGGAAAUAGUUUAAGAUGCUGUUUGGCUUGUGUUCUUCCAUGUGGAGCUCUCGACUUGAUCCGAAUUGUCCAUCUGAAUGGAUUUAUAGAAGAAAUGACAGGUCCAGUCACAGCCGGCGAGAUUCUUAAGGCUAACCCUAAUCACGUCUUGAGCAAACCUUCCUCUCAGGGCGUUGUCCGAAGAAUUGUAAUCCUUUCGCCGGACUCCGAGCUCAAACGAGAUGUUAUCUCAGAAAAGAAGUCUUCACGUCGAGAUCGCCGCAACCGGGGGCGCGUCACCGUAUGGCAGCCUCAUCUGGAAAGCAUUUCAGAAGACUAACAAAUUUCCGGUACCGGAAUCUGACAUCUCUGGGGAUCAUUAUUCAACGGGGAUGUUCUCUUUUCUAUAAAUUCAUGUGGGGUUACUGUUUUGUGGAUAUAUUUUUCUUCACUUCUUUUUUUUUCUUUCGUUCUGCGUAUAAUUUAUGGCAGAGUAAGGGGAUGAAUGGUGUAUCUGGUUCAACAAAAGUUGAUAACAAAGAGAAAAAUGUUAAAAUUCCUAGUAAUGGAACUGUAUUUACACCCUCA